UAAAAAACUGCCUUCCUGUACAGCUUGCGUGGUCUGACAAGAGGAGGAAAGUGUUUUGCCCACUUUGUCUAUGAUGCUCUACGUUACAAGUUUAUCACUGUGAUUAAAUCAAUGCAGGAGCUGCCGGAGAUAUUCUGAGUGGGUUAGCAGCGUAUGGGAAGCUGGAUGAAGGGCAGUACUCUACAUACAUCAAGCAAGCUGAAGAUUACCUCCAGAAGUACUCCGGAGAGGACGCACCAGCCUCUGUUGCAAAGGAAGCAGCAGUUACUUCUGAUGCAGUUCCUGCUGCCGAAAAGGAGGCAUCUGAGGUUCCGGUAUCAGAGAAGGAAGUAUCUGAGGUUCCAGCGGCAGUGAAGGAAGUAUCUGAGGCUGCACCUACCGAAAGUGCUGUAGCACCUGCAGCUGACACUCCCGAUCGUGUGGCUACUUCCGAUGAGAAGGCCUAAACUAUAGCACCAAAAGCUUACCCUGUUUCCCCUGACCUUGAGCACUGCUG
rnacentral:lncRNA from 1 species